rnacentral:lncRNA from 1 species
AGGUCACAAGAUUGCGCCAACCCUUACAUGGUCCUUAAAAAAAAAACCUUCUGACACUGCAGUAGUGAAAAUGAAGCGCACGAUGGGCGGAAGCUGUGAGUCCGGCAAAGUUUUAAAAUGAUGACGUAUUUUAUUAACUCUAACGGCACUGGCGGGUGACUGAAAAUACUAGUGCUGUGUAUGCGGGAUAGACAUUAUUUUCCUGCCCUACAUGAGGGGCUCGUGCGCGGAACGACAUGGGCAGCCCCGGCGGAAACUGCAGGCACAAGCCGGGACGCCGCGGGUUUAAAACAUGCGCGUGAGAGGAAGACAAACAUAAAGAUGAAGUGCUUAAUUCAAGGUCACACAAUGUCGGGGAUGGACCUCCAGAUUUCCUUACUGGAAAACAAGCUCAGGGCUCCCACUGAUUGUACAUUAUGAGACGGAGUCUUGCUAUGUUGCCCAGGCUGGUCUUGAACUCCUCACCUCAAGCGAUCCUCCCGUCUUGGCCUCCCAAGUGUCAGGAUUACGGGCAUGUGCUAUCACACCCAACCUGAUACAUUGCCUUUAUAAAUUUUUUUUUCUUUAUUCUAAAAACCAGAAAAAACAAAACUGGAUACAUGUGCAGAACAUGCAGGUGAGACGUGGUCUUGUAACACAGUGGUUAAGAAUGUGACUUUGGAGCCAGCCUGCUAGGGGCUGAAUUCUGACUCAGCCAUUUACUAACUGUGUGACCUUAGGUAAGUCAUUUACCUUCUUUGUCCCUCAGUUUCAUCUCGGUUAAGUAGGGAUAAUGAUAGCACCUAUUUUAUAGGGUUAUUGUGAGGAAUAAAUCCAAGUAAAAUGCUUAGAAUAGUAACUGAAACAUAGCACUCAUUAGGAAUGCUUUAAUUUUCAUUUAUUUGAGUAUUAAAGGUUGAAUUUUCAGAGGUAUUUUGGACCUUUGUAUUUUUUCUUUAAAUCACUUAUUCAUGACUUUUGAACUUUUUUUUUUCUUUUAGAGACAGGGUCUUGGUUUGUUGUCUAGGCUGGAAUGCAGUGGUGCAAUCAUAGCUCACUGUAGCCUUGAACUCUUGGGCUCAAGAGAUCCUCCUGCCUCAGCCUCGUGAGUAGCUGGGCCUACAGGCGCCUGCUACCACACCUGGCUAAUUUUUUAUUUUUUGUAGAGAUGGGUUCUUGCAGCCCAGACUGGUCUUGAGCUUUGGCCUGAAGUGCUCCUCCUGCCUUGGCCUCUCAAAGCAUUGGGGUUACAGGUGUGAAGCACUGCACCUUGCCUACACAUUUUUUCCAAUAAUUUUUUUUAUUAAUUUGUAAGAGUUAACAUGUCGACUAUCAUAUAUAACAUAGAAUUGUUCCCAUUUUGUCAUUUCCUUUCAACUUUGUCUAUGUAGCUUUUUUUCUGUGUGCAAAUUUUACAUUUUUAGGUAGUCAGAAAAUCUCUUCCCUUGUAAUUUUUUCUGCUACUAGACCAAUGUUUAGAAAAAAGCGUGCUUCCCCACCUCAAAAUUAUAAAAAUAGUUACUUGUUCUUUUUGAGUACUGUGUGUGUUUAAAUCUUUAAUCUUUAAAUUUAAAUCUUUGAUCCAUCUGGUAUUUAUUUUGAUAUGAAGAGAGUGGUUGGGAUCUGGCUGUAUUUCUUUUUUCUUUUUUUUUCUUUUUUCUUUUUUUGACGAAGUCUCACUGUUGCUCAGGCUGGAGUGCAAUGGCAUGAUCUCGGCUCAUCACAACCUCUGCUUCCUGGGUUCAAGCGAUUCUCCUGCCUCAGCCUCCCGAGUACCUGGGACUACAGGCACUCGCCACCAUGCCCGGCUGAUUUUUGUAUUUUUAAUAGAGAUGGUUUCACUAUGUUGGCCAGGCUGGUCUCGAACUCCUGACCUUGUGAUCUGCCCACCUCAGCCUCGAAAAGUGCUGGGAUUACAGGCGUGAGCCACUGCGCCCAGCCUUGUAUUUUUUUUCAGUUUGGGUAGCUGUCCCUAAUUCAUUUGUUAAAGGAGAAGCAAGAGCAAGAACCUUUAAUCUGUUCUCCUCUUCCCUAAUUUGAAAGUAGCUUGUUAUUUUGAAUAUCACUUUCUCUGAAAUAGCACAUCUCCAUCUCAGAGAAUGGAUUUAAUGUUUGGAUACAGCCAAAAGUCAUUUCAUUACCAAACCAUGGGGUGAAUAUACCAUGUAAAGCAGUUUGGGAUCAGAACUCACAGUCUGAAUUGUAAGUGAUGAGACUGCUGUCUCUCUGCUACAGCUUCUUGGCUGGCUCUGAAGGCUCUUUGAAGGCAGAUCCUAACAAGGGGACUGCUUUGAAGGGCCAUUGUUCAUUUGGAAUGAUAAAGUCUAUGUUGUUCAAAAAACAAAUGCUUGUAGCAGGUAUUUUUUCACUCCAGACUGAGAAUAUUGGUGGGAUAUUGAUAAGGGGUACUGAAUGGUAAUAAACAUGUGCUCUAGCUCUGUGCUAGUCAGCUUAUUUCAGAACUCUAGUUUGAUUCAGUUUCUUGCCUCUGACUCAAAAUGGAGGGAGAGUGAUUUUUACAUAAGAGAACACACCCACAUAUCCUUUUGGCAGCAGCUACCUGCCAGAGAUGUUGAAGAAGAGUAGCCAACCUUUACACAGCAGAUAUUGUGUGCCAGUCAUAGUCCUAAGUAUAAUACCUUACAUGUAUAAACUUCUUAUAAGGUUGGUGCUCUGUACCGAAUUGAAUAGUAUCCCCCAAAAUUCAUGUUGUCCCAGAACCUAUGAAAGUGAUCUUACUUGAGGGAGGGGGGAGGGGGGAGGGAUAGCAUUAGGAGAUAUACCUAAUGCUAAAUGACGAGUUAAUGGGUGUAGCACACCAGCAUGGCACAUGUAUACAUAUGUAACUAACCUGCACAUUGUGCACAUGUACCCUAAAACUUAAAGUAUAAUAAUAAUAAAAUAAAAAAAAAAAAGAAAGUGAUCUUACUUGGAAAUAAGGUCUUUGCACAUAUGAUCAAGUUGAGAUGAAGUUGUACUGGAAAGUCUGUCUAGUGACUGGUGUUGUCAUAAGAAGAGAGGGACACAGAGGGAAGAUGGCCACAUGAAGAUGGAGGCAGAGAUUGCAGUUAUGCUGCUGCAAACUAAGGAAUGGCUCUGGCCCUCCAAGGAUUGCUGAUAACCACCAGAAACUAGAAGAGACAAGGAAGGAUUCUUCCCUAGAGCCUUCAGAGGGAGCAUGGCCCUACUGACACCUGGAUUUCAAACUUGUAGCUUCCUAAACUGCAAGAGAAUAAAUUUCUGUUGUUUUAAGCCA